rnacentral:lncRNA from 1 species
CUGCAUGAACCGUCAUUCAGCAUUUAAUUUACAUCAUACAAAAGGAUAAACAUAGAAUUAUCAUGGAAUAAGUAUAUCAACAUACAUGGACUACAAUAAAGCAUAAAAUUAGUAACAUAUGAUCUAAAAAUAAAAUGAUAGACGACGUUAUUGUUCUUCUCGUUCACGCUGGUGCCAUUGAUUGAAUUCGUUUAACAAUUCAUUGAUUCGAUCUAAAAACGAAUCAUCGAUAUUAGCAGGAGUUUGACUAUUCCCAAAUCCCUGAGUGUUAGUAUUUUGUUGUGUUCCCAAUCUAAAAUCCCCGAAGAUUGUCCUUCCUUCAUGCUCACCUGCACUGUCGUGCUCAUCCCUACACUGUUGCUGUUGGGACUCGAUAUGUGAAUAAUAUGGUUGGGAUAGGGUGGCCUCAGAAUCAUCAUCUCUCUCAUUUUCUCUUUGAAUAAUAUGGAAUUAAAAAAAAAAAAACAAAUUUUUAAAAAA